CCUACGGGAGGCUGCAGUGAGGAAUAUUGGUCAAUGGGCGAGAGCCUGAACCAGCCAAGUCGCGUGAGGGAAGACGGUCCUAUGGAUUGUAAACCUCUUUUGCCGGGGAGCAAAAAGCGGUACGUGUACCGCAUCGAGAGUACCCGGAGAAAAAGCAUCGGCUAACUCCGUGCCAGCAGCCGCGGUAAUACGGAGGAUGCGAGCGUUAUCCGGAUUUAUUGGGUUUAAAGGGUGCGCAGGCGGCGAGUUAAGUCAGCGGUAAAAUUUCGGGGCUCAACCCCGACAAGCCGUUGAAACUGGCGUGCUAGAGUGGGCGAGAAGUAUGUGGAAUGCGUGGUGUAGCGGUGAAAUGCAUAGAUAUCACGCAGAACUCCGAUUGCGAAGGCAGCAUACCGGCGCCCAACUGACGCUCAGGCACGAAAGCGUGGGUAUCGAACAGGAUUAGAUACCCCAGUAGUC
rnacentral:rRNA from 1 species